rnacentral:rRNA from 1 species
AGAGUUUGAUCCUGGCUCAGGAUGAACGCUGACAGAAUGCUUAACACAUGCAAGUCUACUUGAAACACUUUCGGGUGUGGAUGGUGGCGGACGGGUGAGUAACGCGUAAAUAACUUGCCCCCUAGUCUGGGACAACUGUUGGAAACGACAGCUAAUACUAGAUAUUAUGAGACCUUGGCAUCAAGGACUUAUGAAAGCUAUAUGCGCUAGGGGAGAGAUUUGCGUCCUAUUAGCUAGUUGGUGAGGUAAUGGCUCACCAAGGCGACGAUAGGUAGCCGGCCUGAGAGGGUGAACGGCCACAAGGGGACUGAGACACGGCCCUUACUCCUACGGGAGGCAGCAGUGGGGAAUAUUGGACAAUGGACCAAAAGUCUGAUCCAGCAAUUCUGUGUGCUUGAUGAAGGCCUUCGGGUUGUAAAGAGCUUUAAGUAGGGAAGAAGAAAGUGACGGUACCUACAGAAUAAGCGACGGCUAAAUACGUGCCAGCAGCCGCGGUAAUACGUAUGUCGCAAGCGUUAUCCGGAAUUAUUGGGCAUAAAGGGCGUCUAGGCGGUUUAGAAAGUCUGAUGUGAAAAUGCGGGGCUCAACCCCGUAUUGCGUUGGA